rnacentral:tRNA from 1 species
GGAGAGGUGGCCGAGUGGUCGAAGGCGCUCGCCUGCUAAGCGAGAGUGUCGCUUAAUAGGCGACACCACGGGUUCGAAUCCCGUCCUCUCCG